GACGUAGGGAGCGAGCGUUGUCCGGAUUCAUUGGGCGUAAAGAGCGCGUAGGCGGCCGUGCAAGUCGGUUGUGAAAUCCCGGGGCUCAACCCCGGGACUGCGUCCGAUACUGCACGGCUCGAGGCAGGUAGGGGAGAGUGGAAUUCCCGGUGUAGCGGUGAAAUGCGCAGAUAUCGGGAGGAACACCGGUGGCGAAGGCGGCAUUCUGGACCGAAACUGACGCUGAGGCGCGAAAGCCAGGGGAGCAAACGGG
rnacentral:rRNA from 1 species